UCAAAAUAAAAAAGAAGAAUAAGUUUUGCGCAGUUUGUGCGAUGGAUGGGAAAAUUGGUGCAACGUUUUUCAUUUUAGUUGUGAUAUUGUAAACGAGAAUUUUGUUCCGGAUGACCAGAUUACGGAUGUGAGGAUUGCUGGCCCAGAACAACAGUUAGAAGGAAAUAAGCAUUCACCCUAUCAGGUAGCAGGAAAAAGACGGCAUCAUGGAUUCAUUCCUGCGGAGGACGAAUACAGCUGGAAGGCGAGGCAAUUGGUUUAGGCAAAAAUUCUUCAACUUAACGGCAAUGCUUUCAUCACCGUACGAUAAUACUAUUUAUAGCGGGACAAUCCAACAGAUGUGCAGACAAGAAACUCGAUGGUUUGGCCGAGAAGGACCGUCCGGACAUUUACAAAGAGCCUCAUACAGGGAUCGGCGGAAGCAGCAAUGUUUUGCUUAAUGCUCAUAUUCGGGCGCAAAAUAAAAGUGGAG